rnacentral:lncRNA from 1 species
CCUUUGCGCGCACCUCCGCGGCGCCGCCGCCGCCGCCGCCGCGCCUCCCGCACACGCCUCCCCCCGACUCCACCGCCCUCGGCGGGCACAGCCCGGCCCCGGCGCGCCUUUGUGCAGCGCCUCGCCAACCUGCCCUCCGUCCGCCAGGACCCGCGCCCUGCACCUCACCGGGAGCCCGGCGGCCUCGCAGCAGGCGGCUCCCUUCUUAGUCCGCCCCGCGGCUGCGGGUCGACGACGCGAGCCCGAAGAGCGUUCACACGGCUACGGCCGCGGCCGGCCCGUCCCCGCAGGCUGGCCUCUGAGGGAGGCCUAAUCUCGGAUGAUACCACAAUGCCCACAGUAUGCUGAUCACCACCAACAGCAGAUGGAGGCGGAUAAAAAGAGCUUUCUCGCUAGUGUGUUGUUUUAAAAGAACCUGAUGGAGAGCUAUGAUCAUAUGUAACACUGCCUCUAGUUAGUUUUUAAAUAACACUUGUAGCAUAUGUCUGGCGCCUGUGCUCAGGAUUUCAACAGAUCAUUUUCAGGAUUUUGACAUUUAACUGGCUUCUUAUGAAGUAGCAGAGAGUUCCAAAAUGUAGAACUGAAAUAUAAGCUCCACACACAGGCAGAGAUUUGAGUCUGAUUUGUUUGUGUGUAUAUCCCAAGUGCCUAAAAGCACUUGGCAUACGGUAGAUGCACAAUAGAUUCCUGUUAAAUGUAUUUUUAGGUGAAAAUGUAGUCUGUACUUUGCAUAAACUUGUCCUACUUUCUUCCUAGUUCUUUAAUAAGUAACCUACUUUUCAUUAUAUAUUUUUAAAUGAAAAAACAAAAUUAUAUCUGGCAUCACUACUUUGGCUGGGCUAUAAAGAAACAGGAAUUUGGCAGUAUGUAUUAAAAUUACAAAUGCAUAUAUACUCGGAGCCUUGAAUUUCAUUUCCAGGGAUUUAUGCCACAGAUGUUUCCACACAUAAGAAAUAACAAGGUGUUUCUUAUUGUUGAGAAUAGCAAAAGAUUGGAAACAAGCUAAGUAUCUAUCAACAGGAUACUAGUUAAAUUAUGAUAGAGCCAUAUGUUUGAACAUUGUGCAGCUGUUAAUCAAAAAAACAGAAAGUUCUUUGUUUUAACAUUAAGAUCUCCAAGAUUUUUUUGUUAAGUGAAAAACACAGAAAUACGGUACAGAAUAUUGUAUUAAAUUGUAUAUGCAUUAAACUAGGACAAAGUAACAUGAGGUAUGAGAACACAGUAGAUGGAAAGCAUAAGAAAUAGACUUCAUUGUAUUCAUAUUUAAACUUUUUGAUAUUCAAAAUUUCAGAAUGUUUUAUCUAUUCAAAUAGUGAAAAUGUUUAAAAUUUUUCUGGCAUCUUUUUGUUGUUGUUGUUGUUAUUAAAACAUUCAGGCUUCUUCUGUUUUAUAAAAGUUUACCUGAGUAAAAUAAACAUAUCAAGGAGGCUGGGUGCAGUGGCUCAUGCCUAUAAUCCCAGCACUUUGGGAGGCUGAGGCGGGCAGAUUGCUUGAGCUCAGGAAUUCAAGACCAACCUGGGCAACAUGGCAAGACCCCAUCUCUAAUGAAAAUACAAAAAAAAAAAAAUAGCCAGGCAUGGUGGUGUGUGCCUGUGGUCUCAGCUACUCCAGAGGCUGAAGUAGGAGGAUCACUUCAACCCAGGAGGUGGAGGUUGCAGUUAGUCAAGAUUGUGACACUGCACUCCAGCCUGAGUAACAGAGUGAGACCAUGUCUCAAAUAAAUAAAUAAAUAAAUAAAUAAAUAAAAUCAGGUAAGCUAGUGCUCAUAGGCAAACUUUUGAAAACCUCAGAGUUUUUGUUCAGAUUGAAUGAUGUCUGUUUCUUACCGUAAUAAUUUAAAAUCCAGGUACAUUUAUUUUGAGGCUUAGUAUACAUUUUAUCAAAUGUAUAUAAAUUUUCAGAAGUACUCUAUUUUUCUUCAAGUUUAGUAGAGCCUUCCUUGAACAAGUUUUAACAAAUUGGAUCCUCCA